rnacentral:rRNA from 1 species
UACGAAGGGGGCUAGCGUUGCUCGGAAUCACUGGGCGUAAAGGGUGCGUAGGCGGGCCUUUAAGUCAGGGGUGAAAUCCUGGAGCUCAACUCCAGAACUGCCUUUGAUACUGAGGAUCUUGAGUAUGGGAGAGGUGAGUGGAACUGCGAGUGUAGAGGUGAAAUUCGUAGAUAUUCGCAAGAACACCAGUGGCGAAGGCGGCUCACUGGCCCAUAACUGACGCUGAGGCACGAAAGCGUGGGGAGCAAACAGG